CCCACCUCCUGCGACCCGCCGCGCCCCCUGGCCUCCACCUCCGGCGACCCACCACGCCCCCUUCUCCCACCUCCGACGCCGGGCCACGCCCCCCAGCUCCCACCUCUGACGAGGCGCCACGGCCCUGCCUCCCACCUUCGGCGAUGCGCCACGGCCCUGCCUCCCAUCUCCGGCGACGCGCCGCCCCUGAACCCCGUCUCCUCUCUCGCGCCGCCCCCACUAGCCCCAGAACGCGGGCGUCCCUCCCACGGAGCCAAGCUCGCGCACCGCCGUCCCUCCCACCGCGCCGAGCUCGCACUCCAUCGCCGCUGGUGCCCCCAUCCUCGCGCCGUCCGUGACCCCUCCACUACACUCCUCUGCUGCAGGAACACGUCAGUUCGUGUGGAGCAUAACAGUCCGUCAGUUUGAUAGUUCGUCAGUUCGCCGAUGGGAUCCGCAGCGGCAGCAAUGCUCGCUCCCCAAUGGUUGCCCGCGCAAUGAGGAUACAGGGAGGCGACAGUGGUGGAGUCAGCAGCGUUCCAUGGCCUUUGUCUUCCUCGUCGCAUCUUUUCUUAUAAACAGCGAGAAGAAAACGAGGCAUAGGCUUCAUGCUCUCCAUCUCCUGGUAAAGGGAAGUUAAGCUCUACGGCCACUUGGAUGUGGAUGCUCACGCUCCUCCACUGGGUGAGCUCCCAGGGCACCACGGGGAUUGAUAUUGUCAUCUCUAUCCCUCGGCCAUGAGGGCCAAGAGGUUGCCUGCACCCUGCUGAGUGAAAUGCCACUUCCGACCAGCACCUGGCCUGAUGCCGUACGUAGACCGCCGUGCUUUUUAAGAUUGCCUGUAUGCCUGUACAUGAAAAAUCUCAACAAUUCUGUUUCUUGUCUACAUGAUUUUGUGCUAGCUUAUCACAAGUUCACAUUGCAUGCUCAAUGUAGUAGCUAGAUGAAGAAAAGUUAUUGUUCUGUAGCUUUGGUCUUACCAUUGUGGUGCUUGUGUUAUUGCGUGGGAAAAUGAAAGAAAGGAGUAUUUUUGCAAAUCAAUGAAUGACAACAAAGUUUGCUGUUUCCCCACCCAAUUUAGAGCUCCAAAAAAGUUCAGAGUUCAGAGUAGUUGUUUGGAGAUGAACAAUAAAUAAGUAUAAUAAAACAAAAGAAAAAUUUGUAAAAAGUACGACAAAGUUCACUAUGCAUUUCACCAUCAGUACAUAAAGAAAUAUUAUAUAAAAUUCCCUGCUCACAGACUAUAUUUAUAGCCUAAUGGUUAGUGUCAAAAUGUGUUGUUCUUGUUUCUUUAUGGUUGCUUCUUUAUUAUAUGAAUAUGAAUGUGCUAGCUAGCUUAAGCUUAGCAAUACCUUUUGGAGUCAAUAGGUGUAGCUCAAAUAAUUCUUGGGCCAUUUUGUCAUAACAAUAAGGCAGGACAUGCUAACAAGAUGAUGAAACCAUGUAUAUAUAACUUGAUGACUGUCCAAAUUGAGAAAAUCCUGAAAUAUGAUAUGUGCUCUCUUUGUAUCAGUUCUUAUGCUUGUGACAAUUCUGCACUCAUAAUGUGCUCGGUAACUAGAAAAAAAUACAUAAGUUCGAAAUAUACUUACCAUGUUUAUUCAGUGUUUUUUCAGUGGUUAUUGGUUUCCUCUUGAGCAGAUGAACUACAUUGUCACAUUAAACUGCAGGGAGAUGUUCCCUCAGUCCUCUCUCGACAAAUCCAACAGUACAGGUUCUCCGGCGCGCCAAGUAUUGCCGGCGGCGAUGCCUGCAUCAUGGCCCAUUGAGGAGAUCAUGCCCGUCAGUUGUAGGUUUUUCUGUUUGCACAUUUAUUUGUUUAGCUUUAAAUUUUGUUGUUUUCCACAUCUGAUACUUGUGUUAAUGCUUCUAUGUGUGCACUUCUGAUCCCAUUGUGAGUAAAAAGACAAGUGAGAUAAGUACUUAUUUGGAAAGUUUGCAAGUUCAAACACAAAAACCUAGAAGUUCAUUGAAAAAGUUUGGUGUGGUCUUCUCCACCACGAGCCCCAGCGUGGAUCACCUGCAGCAGCCAAAUCCCGGCGCGCCCAGCCACUGCUCGUGAACCCCGCCUCCAUCAGCUCCACUCACCGGAGCCGUCAGUCCGCAGGAGUAGGGGUAGCAGGUUCACCCGACGUACUUGGUGGUGCAGACUUGGUAGCGGUUAUAUUUUGGUUCGAUUAUAUAUCAACAACAGUGCAAUGACUGAAAGAUCAUCAGUCCAAAAUAUAUGCAGGCACCAAAUUCUGCUACUGCUCCGACCACUCAUGCCAAGAAAAGGGAGCACAAUUCGCAAGGUUCAGAGCAAUCUGUCAUAGUUGAUUCAGUGUCUAGGUCUAGUGGAAUCCCCAAGGUGCGUGCAGAUUUAUGAAAUUACUAUGUACGGGGUGAGUUUUGUUUGUUGUGAGUAAUGGACUAAUGGUUAUCUGCUGCUCCUUUUUGUCAAGAAUUUGUAACGAGUUUCAGUUCUGAUUUCACUCGCUCACAGUACCAUUGUUCUUCAUAGCACACCACCUGUUUGUGCAAAUACCUAUGAGAGGAUACCAUACAAUGGAGAUGAAAAGGUGUGUUCAAAAUAAUGUCAGACAACCUGCUCCUUUCAAACAUUUUGGAUAAGUGCAGAAAUGAACGUUUGCAAGUUCAAAACAGCUAGUUCAAUAAGUUUGGGGAUUUUAUAUUAUAUGGCAUUUGGGGAUUUUGCAGCAGUUUGCCAAUAAAGGUUUACACCUCUUCAGAUUAUGAAAAGCUAGUAAGUUCAGACUCUGGAAGGAGAGAUCAUCGUUUGUUAAGGUCUGGUGUUUAGUUGGUGGUUAUGUGGUACCUACACCGUCACUUUUCAUCAAGACCUCAAGAAGAGAUAUCAUCUCAAGGUGAAAAAAAAUAUCCUUUUAUUGCUCUCUUUCUUCUCUCACUCAUUCAUCUUAUUAUAUGCACACAAAAUUCAUGUCAUCUUGAAUUUGUUACACUGGUGCGGGAGCAAAAAACAGAUGCACAAGUUCAUCUUCAGUGACACGCUAAGUUCAAAUUCUAAUUUUUAGUUAGUAUAAUUCUUAUUUUUUUAGUUCAGCGCUGAUUUCUGACUUCCUCGGCCAUCACCACCACCUCAUGUAAGUUCGCUGCCGAGAACAAGCACGACCACCUACAGUCUCCGGUGGUCGCCUUGGCUACCCUCGGCCACGAGCUCGUCCACCAUGGUUAUUCGCACCCGUCCAAGUGGAGCACGGACAUCAGUCCAUGUAGAAUUGAAGCCACCAUCUUCACAAAGCAGAAUAGUUGUGCUAGUUCAAUUUUUUCAGUCCAUAUUAUGUGUGCUAUUCAGUACAUCUAAUGCCAAAGUACAAUUGCCUCAUCUUCAUAUAACAUUCAGGAAUUCAAUUUAUAAUGUUGUUUACUGUCCUAUUUUUUUGGUACCAGUAACCUUCCUAUAUACAUAUGCAGCAUCAGUUCAGCCGCUGUUAUGGUAAUAAGUACUCCCUCCGUCCCAUAAUACAAGACGUUUUUGGAGUUCAAAUUGAACUGCAAAAACGUCUUACAUUAUGGGACAGAGGGAGUAGUUUAGUAACUAGAAAAACAACAAAAGGUUGGUUCACUUUAUUUUCUCAGAAGCUUUUCCGGUUCACCUUGUAAAUGGUUUUUCAGUUGACCUUGUAUAUGCCUUCUCAGUUCAUUGUACAUGUUUCAAAAGGAGCUCCCUUGUUUCAGUAGAUGUGGAGAUUGGUAAAAUCUAAAGUUCAACUUUUCUGAUGGGGCACUUCAUAAAGCAAAGAAAAAACCAAGCAGAG